ACGAACGCUGGCCGCGUGCUUAACCCAUGCAAGUCGAACGGAAAGGCCCUGCUUUUGUGGGGUGCUCGAGUGGCGAAUGGGUGAGUAACACGUGAGUAACCUGCCCUUGACUUUGGGAUAACUUCAGGAAACUGGGGCUAAUACCGGUUCGGAGCUCCUGCUGCAUGGUGGGGGGUGGAAAGUUUCGGCGGUUGGGGAUUGACUCGCGGCUUAUCAGCUUGUUGGUGGGGUAGUGGCUUACCAAGGCUUUGACGGGUAGCCGGCCUGAGAGGGUGACCGGCCACAUUGGGACUGAGAUACGGCCCAGACUCCUACGGGAGGCAGCAGUGGGGAAUAUUGAACAAUGGGCGGAAGCCUGAUGCAGCAACGCCGCGUGCGGGAUGACGGCCUUCGGGUUGUAAACCGCUUUCGCCUGUGACGAAGCGUGAGUGACGGUAAUGGGUAAAGAAGCACCGGCUAACUACGUG
rnacentral:rRNA from 1 species